UACGUAGGGACCAAGCGUUGUUCGGAUUUACUGGGCGUAAAGGGCGCGUAGGCGGCCAUUCAAGUCAGAGGUGAAAGCCCAAGGCUCAACCUUGGAAUUGCCUUUGAUACUGUUUGGCUUGAGACCGGAAGAGGUAAGUGGAACUGCGAGUGUAGAGGUGAAAUUCGUAGAUAUUCGCAAGAACACCAGUGGCGAAGGCGGCUUACUGGUCCGGUUCUGACGCUGAGGCGCGAAAGCGUGGGGAGCAAACAGG
rnacentral:rRNA from 1 species